rnacentral:rRNA from 1 species
UACGUAGGGUGCAAGCGUUGUCCGGAAUUAUUGGGCGUAAAGAGCUCGUAGGCGGUCUGUCGCGUCUGCUGUGAAAACUCGGGGCUUAACCCCGGGCCUGCAGUGGGUACGGGCAGACUAGAGUGCGGUAGGGGAGACUGGAAUUCCUGGUGUAGCGGUGGAAUGCGCAGAUAUCAGGAGGAACACCCGUGGCGAAAGCGGCUCUCUGGGACGGUACUGACGCUGAGACGCGAAAGCUAGGGGAGCAAACGGG